CAAACCCAAAAGAUACAAAACAGCCGACGGAGCUGCGCUGCCUGGCCGUCUCAAAAUUUGCACCAGCAAAUAUCCAAAUAAAUUAGCCGAGUGUCAGAGUGAAGUGCGAGUGAGCGUGUCGCAACGCUGAAAAAGUGUAUUCUUUUUGCGCUCUGCCCCUGGGGUUAAAAAUGCAAUAGAGAGCCAAGAUCCAAAGGCAUUCCAAACGCUGCGAUACAGAUACGAAACCGAGAAACACCGAAUACCGCCACAGUGCACAGUGCAAAAGUGAAAAGGACUCGGCCGCCAGGAUAUACACACACAAAAGUACCGCAUCCCGUUUUUCCGUGAGUGCAACCAAACACGCAUACGUACACACACACACACUCUCUCGCUCGGCUUUCAACAUGGCGGAUGUCCUGGAGAAAAGCUCGGCGCUGGAUGCUGUGCCAGCACUAGGCGACACCCAUUCCCAAUCCCAGGCCCAGUCGCACCAGCAGCUGCAACAGGAAGCUGCGCCGCCACAGCAACAAUUGCAACAGCAACAACCGCAGCAGCAGCAGCCACAGAAGCCCGCACCUGCGAGGGCCAAUCAGGAGCAGAAAGAGGGUGACAACGACAGCGGCGUGGACGAAUCCACUCAGGAGAAGGAUCGAAACGGACCCAAUUCGCCCAGUUCACCGGUGAAGACACCCACAUCGACAUCGUCGAAGCCGGGCACGUCCCGCCCACCGAGUGCCACGCCCUCGAACAAAUCGGCACCCAAGUCGCGCAGCGCCUCAAAGAACCGCUUGCUCCUUAAGACCCCAGAGCCCGAGCCAGUAAAGAAAGUUCCAAUGAACAAGGUACAGGUCGGACAUGCGCCUUCGCCCAACCUGAAGGCGGUUCGCUCCAAAAUUGGAUCCCUGGACAAUGCCACCUACAAGCCGGGCGGUGGCCACGUUAAGAUCGAGUCCAAGAAGAUCGAAAUCAAGGCGGCGCCCCGCAUCGAGGCCAAGAACGACAAGUAUGCGCCCAAGGGCGGCGAAAAGAAGAUAGUAACAACAAAGUUGCAGUGGAACGCAAAGUCGAAAAUCGGCUCGUUGGAGAACGCCGCCCACAAGCCCGGAGGCGGGGACAAGAAGAUCGAGACCCUGAAGAUGGACUUCAACAACAAGGCCAAGUCGAAGGUCAACUCCAAGGACAACGUGAAGCACCAGCCCGGCGGCGGCGACAUCAAGGAUUACAACCCCAAGGAUAUCCAAACGCAAAAAAUAGAAAUUAAGGCACAAAGCAAAGUUGGCUCUUUGGAUAAUGUAAAGCACAAGCCCGGUGGCGGUGAAAAGAAGAUUUUCGAUGAUAAGGAUUAUUUGAAAAAUGUUGAACACUCUGUUGCACUGACAACACCACCAACACAGGAAUAUAUAUACACGUUUUAUUAGGCUAGUCAUACGAAACUAAGUGCAUUAAAUUCGAAAUUCGUAUACAUGUUACGUCCAUUAGAGUUAUUUAAAGCCUAUUACGAGUGCUACUGCAGCAUAGUAUACUGGAGGUCCGAAUGCGACGCUAUUUUAAGCACUCUAGAAACAUUCUAUCCGAUCCGAUUCGAUUUGAUCACGAUCACGAUCACGCAGCCCCAGUCCACUACCAUCCAUGACGGCUUCUGGCGCUGAUGAAAAUUUAAAUCAACAAAGCUAAAUGCCCGAAAUGCCCGAAAUGCAUGUCGAGCCGAUAUCUUUUCCUUGCAAGCUAAGAUAGCCAAGAUUGAAAGCGAAACGAACAUUGAACCAGCUAAUUUGAAAUGUACUAUCUAAGCAAAAAGCUACACAAAAAGAAAAAGUUAUGCAAUGAUUUCCACACACCCUCACAAUCCAGUAAUAAGACCCGAAAACUCGAUAGAGGUGCAAGCACGCAGACUGCGAAUGCAGAUGCAGAUUCAUCUACACCACCACCACCCCACAUAGAAGCGGUAUUUGGUAUACAGAUCGAAGUAUAUUGACUAGUUGAGCAAUGCACUCUUUAUCGUCAGAUACCAGACGUAAUUAUAUAUCUCAAUAUAUUACAAGAAAUUCAUAUAUACAUAAAAUAUAUAUAUACGUAUACAUAAAAGUAUCUAAAUAUUUAAGCAAAUUAUACAAGAUUCGUACGAACAAACCGUGUGCUUAGUUGAAAAUGUUGAACGACACCCCAUUACACUCGACGUCUAAAUGUUAUACGACUAAGAUAAUGCGACCCGAUGAUAUGUGAACCGUUUAGAUACUUUUGCGACGAACAAAGCCACACAGAACAGAACAGUACCGAACCGAACCGAACCGAACAGAUAAUACCACGUAUAAGCAUAUUUUUACUAUUAUUAAUUUGUAUCUUAUUAGUCAAGCGCAUCAUUCUCACGAUUUAUUUACACCCUGUUACAAAAUGUAAGAACAAUGGCAAAAUUUAAGCAUAAUAAACAAACAAAAAAACGUUUUUUCAUUUAUUAAA